GUUAAAACAGCAUUGCAGAAUGUGGGUCUCACCUUCUGUGAGUGUGAUCCCACUGAGACUGAGGCAGAACAUAUCCCCUCUCAUCCAGGCAUAUUUCCACAUCUGAAAAAACAAUCAAGGAGACUCUCCAUAGGUGUCUCGAAGGCUUGGUCUACAGAGGAGAACUUCUUCACGUGCAGGACGAAGGGCAGUCUGGGACCCUGAUCAAGAGGACAUUGAGGAGAAUUAAUCACUUGCGGUGAACCUCGCCCCACCCUGGCUUGUGAACGACUGAGCCCUUUCGAGGAUGCCCCUCACGUGUUACCAGUGAACCUGUUUACCUGUGAAAUGAUCCCAACAGGUGUUUUUGGAGCCUUCCACAACAUUCCCAGUCUUUUGGCGG